AGUGAACGCUGGCGGUAGGCCUAACACAUGCAAGUCGAACGGCAGCACAGUAAGAGCUUGCUCUUACGGGUGGCGAGUGGCGGACGGGUGAGGAAUACAUCGGAAUCUACUUUUUCGUGGGGGAUAACGUAGGGAAACUUACGCUAAUACCGCAUACGACCUACGGGUGAAAGCAGGGGAUCUUCGGACCUUGCGCGAUUGAAUGAGCCGAUGUCGGAUUAGCUAGUUGGCGGGGUAAAGGCCCGCCAAGGCGACGAUCCGUAGCUGGUCUGAGAGGAUGAUCAGCCACACUGGAACUGAGACACGGUCCAGACUCCUACGGGAGGCAGCAGUGGGGAAUAUUGGACAAUGGGCGCAAGCCUGAUCCAGCCAUACCGCGUUGGUGAAGAAGGCCUUCGGGUUGUAAAGCCCUUUUGUUGGGAAAGAAAAGCAGCAGGUUAAUACCCCGCUGUUCUGACGGUACCCAAAGAAUAAGCACCGGCUAACUUCGUG
rnacentral:rRNA from 1 species